AGUUUUAACAGUCUAUUGGUCAAUGUUCUCAACUCUUCCCGCCCACCAGCGCCCUGUGUAGAGAGGCCAGCUGUCUCUGGUUAUUCAGUGAUCCAAGAGCUGGGAAACUAUUGGUCGACAGAGGCCGUCAGACCGGACUGUAGUGAUCGGUGAUUGAUGAAAGACUUGGACAGCUUAACAAAUAGGGAGGUUAAGGAGUAUAGAACACACUGAGGAACAAACAAAUCCCCUUGCUAAGUCACUCAUGGAGAGACGUCUCAGAUCCUGAGUCUCCCUGGGCUAUUGCUUACUGAUAUGGAUUGAAUCAUUAAUGCUUGGUGAGUGGAGACUCCUCACAGCAAAGGGAGCAAAGCCAGCAAUGGGGAGAUGGGCCGACGAGCAUCUCAGGAUGAUACGUUGAGCAAACUGGCCGAGCAUCAUCUCGAGCUCUGUUGGUAAUCAUGGAGAGGCCCAAGAUGAAGGCAGCUGAACAAAAGAGUUGUGAGUGCUAACAAGCACAGCCUCAAGUUCAUGAAUGACGAGCUGUUUUCUCUUCACUUUAAAUUACCAGGUGAGCCCACACAUUCUUUCUCUGGAUUCUCUCCCUUUGGUAAGGCCUAUUAAGAUAAAUCAUGCGUCAAGUUAUAUAUAAGACUCAGAAGUAUGAUUCUUUACUGGCAAGGAAGUAUCCUUUAGGUUUACUCCCAUUAUUCUAUUUGUCAAGUAAGGUUGCUGGGAAUCUUUGAAUUCAGUAACUAUAAAUCCAAUUCAAACUAAACUAAAACCAGGGAAUAUCACUGGGUCAACUAGCAGAGUAUAGGGAAAAGAAUGGCUUCAGGAAAAGCUGCUCUAAGGACUCAAAUGAGGUUUCUACAUUGUGUUUUUCUUUCUUUUAUUGGUGAUACAGUUGCCAACAGGUCCAGGGAACUAUUUUAUAGCUUCAGAAACUCUGGCCCCUCUAGAAAAAUGUUCAGACUAGCUUAGAUUGGUGGUCAUAUCAGCUUGUGCAUUUCCCUGAGCUGUUCACUGUAGCCAGGGAAGGUGGGGCUCUGAUUACCUCAGCUUGAGAGCCUUUCAACAGCAUGUGGAAGAUCAGCAGUAAAGAAGUAUGCUUUCUAAAGAAUACCAGGGGUAGAGAAAAAUUUUCCUGCAACUCAUGAGGUAAGCUGUUAGUCAAAAAUAGAACAGAUCCCACCAAGAGCAAUAGGUAGUAGAGCCCCAACCCCUCUCCUUACUGCAGGCUUUCUACUUUCAAGCUUGUUAGCCCCUUCUAGGCAGACAAUCAAGACUUGGAUUGAGUUGAAGUUGAUCCAGACUCAUUCUUUCUCUAGGUUUGCUUUCACCACUCCUUGAUUUCAUUUUCAGAAUGAUUUCUACCCACACAUGGCGUAGAGCAAGAAGUUAGUGCUUCUGAAAAGAAAACUCAUCUACUGUAUUUCAACUCUAGCACAUGCACCUCCCAUGCCUACACACAUUCCAAAGUUUCUUUAGAGAAAGAGAAACGGAAGUCUCUGAACAAUCACUGGUUCUUGAAAGGAAACCCUGGCGGAAAGUUGGGAAAAAAACUGUAUCAGAUAGAGAAAAUGAAUAGAUGGAUGGAAAACCUUAAGCUGCUUCUGGAUGAGACAGAAAAGGCAACAACUCAUCCACAGCGCUCUGGAGGGGCAGCGCAAAGCACUUUAAUCUUUGAUGAAUGUGAUUGGACUCUUUCCGCUACUCAAGAAAGACUGAAGUGUUCACGAGGGCUCAUCCUGAGCUGGCUCCCUGCCACAGUCGACCUUGGACUCCGCAUAAUUAUCAAUCUUUUAUAGUCUACUUCCACUAUUUUAAAAAGCUUCAUUUUGACAAGAAAGUCUGAUAGAGACACGUGUGGUAAGUAAAGCCUAGUAUUUGGAAUUAAGACACUGGAGUGGAGCCAGGAGUUUGUGAUGGGCACUGCAUUAGUGGACAGCUGAGUAUCCCCCUGUGUUUUUAUUAUCAGGAGGCACAAAGUAAAGGAAGCUGGAAAAAUCAAGUUGUGAAUGCUAAUAAGCACACCCGUGUGUUCAUGAACUUGGGUAACUGAUCAGCAGUUUCCCUGAGCCACCGAUGUUUGUUCUACUCUUUCAUCAGUCAGGAAAUCCAUUCCAAGAGUGCCUCCUAACUAUAUUGUCCAGUUAUCAUGGAGGAUGUCCAUGGACGAGCAUAUGAUAUUACAGAUGCACCUAUGUUAUAAUGGAAGCUAAUAGAGCAUUUCCCUUUGGAUCAAUAUGGAAGACACUUUCUGGUUAGUUAUGAUGUUUUAUCUCUUAAUAUGGUGGUACGAUACUAAGUUCACUUGAAAGGUUGAAAACACUUCUCAUCCACACAGCUAGAGUGAUCAAUAUCUUAAUGAUUAAAUCUAAGAACAUUGCCUACUAUCUAUAACUGAUAGAACAAUUGGAUGGCAGAUCUAGAGCAGAGAGGACCCGGAGAAAGAAACCAGCAUAGAUCUGGGCCUAUCACAAAUUACUUAACUUAAUGUGUAUUAGUAAGUUCUCCAUUGCUGCCACAAAUAGCUGACAACCUGAAAAAAAACCCAACUUGUUGGUGGAACGAUUUAUUUUGGUUCCUGAUUCCAAAGGCUUCAGUCUAUGAUUAUAUGGAUCCAUUGCUUCUGGACUUGUGAUGAGGGGGGAAAAAAAGAAAGAAAGAAAGAAAAAGAAAAAGAAAAAAGUCACAGUGGAGAGCAAAGGAACUCACCUCAAGAUAGAGAGGUAUAGAUAGGUAGAUAGACAGAUAGAUAAUAGGUAGGUAGGUAGAUAGACAGAUGGAUAAUAGGUAGAUAGGUAGGUAGACUGAUGGAUAAUAGGUAGGUAGGUAGGUAGACAGAUGGAUAAUAGGUAGAUAGGUAGAUAGACAGAUGGAUAAUAGGUAGGUAGGUAGGUAGAUAGAUCAAGGGGGUCUAAUUAGGAGAAGAAAAGGGACAUUCUAAGGCAGGUUCCCAGUGACCUAUUUCCUCCAUAGGCCUACUUCAUUGUCUUAAUUAGAGUUUCUAUUGCUAGGACAAAACACCAUGCCUAUGAGCAACUUGGUGGGGAAAAGGCUUAUUUCUACUUACAAUUCUCAGGUCAUACUGCUGAGUCAGUACAGGAACUCCGGAUAGGAAGGAACCUGAAGGCAGGAAGUGAAACAGGAGCCAUGGAAGAGUGCUGCUUAGUAGAUUUAUCUUCAUGGCUUGCUCAUUUUACUUUGUUAUACAACUCCAGGACCACCUAUCUAGUGGAGGCACUACUCACAAUAGGCUGGGACCUCCCUCAGCCAUUAUUAAAAAAAAGAAAAUCCCCACAGAUCACUCUGGCAGGGCAUUUUCUAAAUGGAUAUCUUUUCUUCCAAAAUGACUCUAGCCUGUGUCAAGUUGAUGUAAGAACUAGCCAGCAUACUCCUAAAGUUUCUACUACCUCCUAAUAAUACCAUCAGACUAAGAGUCCAUCGGCUGACACAAUAGAUGACUUUUGAAUCACUUUCCAAAGGGCUCACUUCUGAACACUGCUUCCCUGGGUACCGAGCCUUCAAUACUUGAAUUUUAAGGGGACUCUUCAUAGUUAAAUCAUAACACUGUGGAUGCUGACUUUUUUCAGAGAUGUAUGGGUGGUCAUUUUGCUAGUUGUCUAUUUAGAUAUUAGCAGGCUUGAAAGGACAAUAGAGAUGGACCUGGCUCUCAUAACCAACAGUUUAUAAAACCAAGGCCUAGAUUGCAGGACUUGAAUACUCCAGUUACACUGGUCAGAUAAAUGGAACCUCAAUUAUAAUUUCAGCUCUAAGAGGCUUUGUGACAUCUUGACUUUUCUGAGUGGUCACUAACUGGUAACAAUCCAAAUCAGACUAUAGGAUGCUUAAGCCUUACAAGAUUGUAUAGGAGGCUUUCUGAUAAAAAAACAAAACCAGUCUAAGGAUAUAACAUGACCCAUUUAGUUAAUUCAAGUCAGCUUGUCAAUCACCUAGACAGGAAAAUAUCCUCCAGAAAAGCUAUCUGAUUCAGAGACUUUACAUAUAGUUUGAAAUCUGCCUGAACUGUAUAUUGGGGGCAAUCUAAUGGUCUCUUCGGGCAUCAUUCACUCGCUCCUCUUGACAGUACUUCACUUAACUCUGUAAUAAACUAUCUUUU
ensembl:processed_transcript 4932412D23Rik RIKEN cDNA 4932412D23 gene